CUCUUGUUCUUCGACAAUAGGUAACCUUACAAAGAUGAUACCUAUAGCUAGCUAGCAGCAGAUGCUUAUAAAAGGGCAGAGAUUAGAACUAUCUGUCACACUCAAUCAAAGUUAAACCUGUGGAAGAAGAAAGAAACGUUUCAGCAAAGAGGAAGGAAUGUCUUGGCAAGCCUGUGCUGGUUUCCUGGUGCUAGUCUCAGCAUUCUAUGCUGUAGCUGGAUACCAGAAUGAUUUCGGUGGCAACCUUUUCGUGGAUUGCCACAACAACCAAGCUAUUUAUGGAGUAGAAAGUUAUCAUGACAAUGGCAGAGAGGAUCGUCGCUGGCACUUUUCAUGUGUAAGAAUGUUGUGUCCUAUCCAUUCUCUUCUUGCUAUUGGACGGGAAACGUAAAUGAUUGGGACCUGCCCCUCUCGUUCAUGUGUAACGCCAAUUAUGUGAUGGCGGGAGUGGGAAGUUUCCAUGACAAUGGUCGGGAGGAUCGUCUGUGGAGGUUCAAGUGUUGCCAUGCUAGUGGCUACCAAACCAAGAAUUGCCGAUUGACCGGUCACAUCAACAACUGGGAUGCACAUAUGAAUUACCGUUCUUCCUCCGUUUUUGCUGGUCUUACUAGCUACCAUGACAAUGGCAGAGAAGAUCGUCUGUGGAAGGUUCUGGAGUGUGACUACCAGAAAUGAGAGAGCAAGCUAAAGGAGUGUGGAUCUAAAAUCAAUGAUAGUGAAACUGAUUAUAGAUAAAUAAUAGUCUAAACGAAUAGUAUAUUGCUCAGUCUGUCCACACGUACAGUACGUAUAUGAAGAAAUGGAUCAGUACAGUCAUGUAUACACAUUGUACAUUGCAUGUAAUGGAAUGUCAGAUCUCUAAUUUGUUCCUUGUUAGGUAUAAUUAGGCAGUCAAGUUUUCAUGGUACAAAAAGUACAUAUAAUAAUUACUUCACGGCAGGAACUUCACUAACAGUUACAUAGCUAAACCAAAACAAUAAUCGGAACCCUCUGCGCUCAGACUACGUGAUCCUAUUGGUAUAAAAAAGAAAUAUUAUAUCACUCACUUCAUACUAAGAAACAAGGAGCAUUGCGGAGCUAAUCACAAGAAGAAAAAGAGAAGAAAUUCUUUCACAAUGAACUGGCAAGCCUUUGUUGGACUGUUGCUUUUCGUCUCGGUGUUCUCUGCUGAGGGGUACCAGAAUAACUUCGACCAGCCACUGCACGUCGAUUGUCAAUCAAAAAAGGCUCUUUCUGGAGUCAGGAGCAUCUAUAGUACUCCCCACAGGGAUAGACGUUUUCAAUUCCUUUGCCAAAGCAUUACGUCUUACUCUUUCUCAAAAUGCUUCUGGACCGGGUAUGAGAAUCAAUGGGACCAGCCUCUCCUCUUCCAGUGUCCUACUGACCACGUGAUGUCCGGAGUGAAGAGUGUUCAUAACAAUCACAGAGAGGAUAGAUUGUGGCGGUUUAAGUGUUGCAAGGCUCCUUGCCAUCAAACGAAGAGUUGCGAGUUGUCUAAAUUCAUCAAUAGUUGGAGAGGACUCAUUAACUAUAAAGCUCCUGCUAACAAGGUGUUUGUGGGUGCCUUCAGCUAUCAUGACAACGGAAAAGAAGACCGUAGGUGGAAGAUGCUGCAGUGUGAAUAUAAGAAAGACAAGUAAAGCAAAGCCUGCAUGCCAACAACUUUUACAUGUAGUCUUUUACACAUAGUCUUUUACACAUAAACUAAACAGAUAAAUAAUUUCGUACAAACAGUAUAGACAAGUGUGUUUAACUGUAUAGCUGAAACUGUUGGGCACUCUCAGACAAAACUGAUUAUAUAAUUCCUUACAUGUG